rnacentral:rRNA from 1 species
AGUCCUACGAGAAUUUUUAAUUCAAGUGGCGGACGGGUGAGUAACACGUAAGAAUUUGCCUUUAGGAGGGGGACAACAACUGGAAACGGUUGCUAAUACCCCAUAUGCUUUCGAGUGAAACGGAAUUUUCCGCCUAAAGAGAAGCUUGCGGCUGAUUAGCUUGUUGGUGAGGUAAUGGCUUACCAAGGCGACGAUCAGUAUCUGGUUUGAGAGGAUGAUCAGACACACUGGAACUGAGACACGGUCCAGACUCCUACGGGAGGCAGCAGUGGGGAAUUUUCCGCAAUGGGCGAAAGCCUGACGGAGCAAUCUCGCGUGAGGGAUGACGGCCUAUGGGUUGUAAACCUCUUUUUUCAGGGAGGAAUAAAUGACGUGUACCUGAAGAAUAAGCAUCGGCUAACUCCGUGCCAGCAGCCGCGGUAAGACGGAGGAUGCAAGUGUUAUCCGGAAUCACUGGGCGUAAAGCGUCUGUAGGUGGUUUGAUAAGUCAACUGUUAAAUCUUGAAGCUCAACUUCAAAAUCGCAGUCGAAACUAUCAGACUAGAGUAUAGUAGGGGUAAAGGGAAUUUCCAGUGGAGCGG